CAGCAGCCACGGUAAUACGAGGGGGGCAAGCGUUGUUCGGAAUUAUUGGGCGUAAAGGGUGCGUAGGCGGUUUGGCAAGUUUGGUGUGAAAUCUUCGGGCUCAACUCGAAGUCUGCAUCGAAAACUGCCGGGCUUGAGUAUGGGAGAGGUGAGUGGAAUUUCCGGUGUAGCGGUGAAAUGCGUAGAUAUCGGAAGGAACACCUGUGGCGAAAGCGGCUCACUGGACCAUAACUGACGCUGAUGCACGAAAGCUAGGGGAGCAAACAGGAUUAGAUACCCCCGUAGUCCCUGUCUCUUAUAA
rnacentral:rRNA from 1 species